rnacentral:lncRNA from 1 species
CUACCAUCUGUCCAGACUUUUGAUCAUAGCUUUGAAAGUUUUUCCACUUCUGUGCCCUGCCAUGCAUUCAGAGAUUUUCAGAAGGACCCAAUGUAAUUGAAACAAAUUACAAAAAGUCCACAGCAGGCACACAGAGAGAAUGGGCUUUACCUUCAAAUGCAUAGCAGUUUGGGAAUAGGAACCACAGUUCAGAACUAAAGCCUUCUCUGGGAAAAAGAACAAAAUGCCGAAGAAGCAAUCCAAGGCAGAGUUAUGGGGUCUCUGUUCUCAUUCCCAAACCACAAAAUGAGAGCCUUCAAUACACUUAAGCAAAUGCCAUUCAAAUUUCACACCAAUUACACAGGGUCCAUGUAAUUGGACCAUAUCCUUCCUUUCCCCAUCACUGUGCUGGAAAGUUCUCAUUUGCCACUGUUUAGAACAAAGUAAGGGAGCUCCGCUGACUUAAGGUCAGCUUAGGGUAAGUAGCCUGGCACCAGUCCCAACAGAAGUUAGACUAUCCUCCAGCAAAGACCUGCUCAAGGCCAAGCCUCCGUUUAAUUACCAGGGGCCUGGCCAGUUAUUUAGAGAACAUCUCCUGUUCCUAGCAUGGAUAAUUGCUCAAAGCCAGCUUCCUGAAGCUGUCGUGUCCUUUUUCUGUCUGUCCUGGCAUCCCUUCAGGUUGUCUCUGCACUGCCAUGCUCAUCAGAAUCUUGUUGCUUGUGCACAUGGCUGCAGACCCUAUGAUCUCAGAAGCCCUGCUGCCAACAAAAUGGGCAAGUUCAUAGCUGUGGGCUUGCCGCUGCUGCUGAUGUCCCUGGCCCAGGAGUUUUCCAGUGUGUUGCUGCCACUACCCGGUGCAGCAGGGGUAGACUACACUACCUUAUUCCUCUCAUUGCAUGGGAUCUGGAGUAAGACAGCUGUGAGUAUGAUUCAUACGCUAAGCAAGUUUCAUUAUUUUGGCUGGGUUGGAUGUAAUGAAAUAAGCAGACAAACCAUGCACUUAGGCACCAGAAAAUCA